rnacentral:rRNA from 1 species
GACAGAGGAGGCAAGCGGUGUCCGGAAUUAUUGGGCGUAAAGCGUCCGUAGGUGGUUUGGCAAGUCUGGGGUUAAAGCCCGGAGCCUAACUCCGGAUCGGCCCUGGAAACUGCCAGACUAGAGUAAGGUAGGGGUUGCGGGAAUUCCCGGUGUAGCGGUGAAAUGCGUAGAUAUCGGGAAGAACACCAGUGGCGAAAGCGCGCAACUGGGCCAUUACUGACUCUGAGGGACGAAAGCUAGGGGAGCGAAUGGG